rnacentral:rRNA from 1 species
UUGGUGAGGUAAUGGCUCACCAAGGCGACGACGGGUAGCCGGCCUGAGAGGGUGACCGGCCACACUGGGACUGAGACACGGCCCAGACUCCUACGGGAGGCAGCAGUGGGGAAUAUUGCACAAUGGGCGAAAGCCUGAUGCAGCAACGCCGCGUGAGGGACGACGGCCUUCGGGUUGUAAACCUCUUUUAGUAGGGAAGAAGCGAAAGUGACGGUACCUGCAGAAAAAGCACCGGCUAACUACGUGCCAGCAGCCGCGGUAAUACGUAGGGUGCAAGCGUUGUCCGGAAUUAUUGGGCGUAAAGAGCUCGUAGGCGGUUUGUCGCGUCUGCUGUGAAAACCCGAGGCUCAACCUCGGGCCCGCAGUGGGUACGGGCAGACUAGAGUGCGGUAGGGGAGAUUGGAAUUCCUGGUGUAGCGGUGGAAUGCGCAGAUAUCAGGAGGAACACCGAUGGCGAAGGCAGAUCUCUGGGCCGUAACUGACGCUGAGGAGCGAAAGCAUGGGGAGCGAACAGGAUUAGAUACCCUGGUAGUCCAUGCCGUAAACGUUGGGAACUAGAUGUGGGGACCAUUCCACGGUCUCCGUGUCGCAGCUAACGCAUUAAGUUCCCCGCCUGGGGAGUACGG